UACGUAGGUGGCGAGCGUUAUCCGGAAUUAUUGGGCGUAAAGGGUGCGCAGGCGGCAAGAAAAGCUUAAGGUGAAAGCGUGGGGCUCAACCCCAUAAAGCCUUAGGAACUAGCUUGCUAGAGUGCAGGAGAGGGCGAUGGAAUUCCAUGUGUAGCGGUGAAAUGCGUAGAUAUCACGCAGAACUCCGAUUGCGAAGGCAGCAUACCGGCGCCCAACUGACGCUGAAGCACGAAAGCGUGGGUAUCGAACAGG
rnacentral:rRNA from 1 species